AUGCUGACUGUUCUGCUUGCUCUUUUACCUGGUGCUGGCGUGGGAAGCCUCAUCACACAGUGGCCAGAAGAAACCAUUAAGAAUGCUGGAGAGACUGUGGACAUCUUCUGCUAUCAGAAUAAUACCAGGUUUGCCUAUAUGUUCUGGUACCAGCAGCCUCCAGGAAACGGUCUGAGGUUAGUAGCCAGUACUUCUACAUGGAUGCAGAACUUUUAUGAGGAAGGUUACAGUGAGGCCAAAUUUGGGAUAAACAGAGACAAUAAUGAUCACUCUGUGAUGACAAUCAAGAAUGUGACAUCCAAGGAUGCAGCCAUGUAUUUCUGUGCUGCGAGUGAUCGCACACUGGGAUUCAAUAACGUGUUUUUCGGCGAUGGCACAAAACUUACGGUAAUAGGGAAGGACGAUGAAAUCAUACCUCCAGCUGUGGCCAUUUUUUCCCCAUCAAAGCAAGAGAUCCAACAGAAGAGCAAGGCCACGCUAGUGUGCCUGGCCUCUGGUUUCUACCCUGACCACUUGAAUCUGGUCUGGAAGGUGAAUGGUGCUAAGAGGACAGAAGGGGUGGGAACAGAUGAGUUUUCCACACAGAAUGGGAGUACUUACUCACUGACCAGCCGACUGAGGAUCUCAGCCCAGGAAUGGUUCAACCCUUUGAAUCGUUUUGAGUGUGUUGCUGAUUUUUUUAAGAAUGGAACACUGGAAUCUAUACACAAAUUCAUCUACGGUGAUGCUGGUUGUGCACUCACAGAAGGGUCCUACUUGCGGUAUGGAAAUUCUCUGAAGCUCACUUACCUCAUUCUCUGUGGCAAAGCCUUGCUCUAUGCAGUUUUGGUGAGCAGUCUGGUGUGGACAGCCAAG